rnacentral:rRNA from 1 species
CAAUACUAGUGGCGCACGGGUGAGGAAUACAUGGGUAACCUGCCCUCGAGUCGGGGAUAACCAGUCGAAAGACUGGCUAAUACCGGAUAAGACCACAGGAUCUGCGGAUCUAGGGGUUAAAGGUUUUUCGCUUGAGGAUGGGCCCAUGCGGGAUUAGCUAGUUGGUGAGGUAACGGCUCACCAAGGCUACGAUCCCUAACUGGUCUUAGAGGAUGAUCAGUCACACUGGAACUGAGACACGGUCCAGACUCCUACGGGAGGCAGCAGUAGGGAAUAUUGCACAAUGGACGAAAGUCUGAUGCAGCGACGCCGCGUGAGUGAUGAAGGCCUUCGGGUCGUAAAGCUCUGUCGUAUGGGACUAACAAAAUGAAGGUACCAUGCAAGAAAGGAUCGGCUAACUUCGUGCCAGCAGCCGCGGUAAGACGAGGGAUCCUAGCGUUGUUCGGAAUUAUUGGGCGUAAAGCGGGUGUAGGCGGCUCUAUAAGUCAGGUGUGAAGGCCCGAGGCUCAACCUCGGAAGUGCACUUGAUACUGCAGAGCUUGAAUGUGGUAGAGGUUACUGGAAUUGUUGGUGUAGUGGUGAAAUACGUAGAUAUCAACAGGAAUACCGGAGGCGAAGGCGGGUAACUGGGCCAACAUUGACGCUGAGUCCCGAAAGCGUGGGGACCAAACAGGAUUAGAUACCCUGGUAGUCCACGCUGUAAACGAUGGAUACUUGAUGUUAGUGGUAUUGACCCCACUAGUGUCGGAGCUAACGCGUUAAGUAUCCCGCCUGGGGAGUACGGUCGCAAGAUUAAAACU